UACGUAGGGGGCAAGCGUUGUCCGGAAUCAUUGGGCGUAAAGCGCGUGUAGGCGGCUCGGUAAGUCCGCUCUGAAAGUCCAGGGCUCAACCCUGGGAUGCGGGUGGAUACUGCCGGGCUCGAGUCCGGAAGAGGCGAGUGGAAUUCCAGGUGUAGCGGUGAAAUGCGUAGAUAUCUGGAGGAAUACCGGUGGCGAAGGCAGCUCUCUGGGACGGUACUGACGCUGAGACGCGAAAGCGUGGGGAGCGAACAGG
rnacentral:rRNA from 1 species